CCUANGGGUGGCUGCAGUCGAGAAUCUUCCGCAAUGGACGAAAGUCUGACGGAGCGACGCCGCGUGAUUGAUGAAGCUCUUCGGAGUGUAAAGAUCUUUUAUGAGGGAAGAAGUUUAUUGACGGUACCUCAGGAAUAAGGGGCUCCUAAUCUCGUGCCAGCAGGAGCGGUAAUACGAGAGCCCCGAGCGUUAUCCGGAAUUAUUGGGCGUAAAGGGUGCGUAGGUGGUCAUGUUAGUCGUUUGUCAAAUCCUUGGGCUUAACCUAAGAACCGCGAACGAAACGGCAUGACUUGAGAGUGUGAGGGGUAUAGGGAACUAAUAGUGUAGGGGUGAAAUCCGUUGAUAUUAUUGGGAACACCAAAAGCGAAGGCACUAUAUUGGCACAUAUCUGACACUCAAGCACGAAAGCGUGGGUAGCGAAUGGGAUUAGAUACCCUUNUANUC
rnacentral:rRNA from 1 species